UACGGAGGGUGCAAGCGUUAUCCGGAAUUACUGGGUUUAAAGGGUGCGUAGGCGGCUGUAUAAGUCAGAGGUGAAAGGCUGUCGCUUAACGAUAGAAUUGCCUUUGAUACUGUAUAGCUCGAAGCUAGGUGAGGUUGGCGGAAUGUGACAUGUAGCGGUGAAAUGCAUAGAUAUGUCAUAGAACACCGAUUGCGAAGGCAGCUGGCUAACCUAAGUUUGACGCUGAGGCGCGAAAGCGUGGGUAGCAAACAGG
rnacentral:rRNA from 1 species